rnacentral:rRNA from 1 species
UACGUAGGUCCCGAACGUUGCGCGAAUUUACUGGGCGUAAAGGGUCCGUAGGCGGUUUAGCAAGUGGUUGGUGAAAUUUCACGGCUCAACCGUGAAACUGCCUUCCAAACUGCUAAACUUGAGGCAGGGAGAGGUAGGCGGAAUUUCCGGUGUAGCGGUGAAAUGCGUUGAUAUCGUGAGGAACACCAGUGGCGAAGGCGGCCGACUGGAACUGUCCUGACGCUGAGGGAAGAAAGCUAGGGUAGCAAACCGG